AUGGUUCAUCCGUUGCAUGCCCUCCAUGAGCUGCUACUGCAAGCGAGGUCUCCACAUGCAGCCCUGGGACUGGUCUUUGUCCUGCUCGUCUGCCCUCUCCUCGCCCUCCUGGUCGUGCGCCGCCUCGCGACGCCGUCGACGGCCGCGGCCACCGCGAGAGCCAGAGAAGAGCUGCUGGGCAGGCUGCCCUCUCCUCCCAGUAGGCUCCCCAUCAUCGGCCACAUGCACCUCGUCGGCUCCCUCCCGCACAUCUCCCUCCGCGACCUCGCCGCCAAGCACGGCCGCGACGGCCUCAUGCUCCUCCGCCUGGGCGCCGUCCCGACGCUCGUCGUCUCGUCGCCCAGCGCCGCGGAGGCCGUGCUGCGCACGCACGACCACGUCUUCGCGUCCCGGCCCUACUCCGCCGUCACCGAAAUCCUCUUCUACGGCCCCACGGACGCCGCCUUCUCCCCCUACGGCGAGCACUGGCGACAGGUCAAGAAGAUCGCCACCACGCACCUUCUCACCAACAGGAAGGUCCGCUCCUACCGCUAUGCCCGCGAACACGAGGUGAGAUCGGUUGUGGCUAAGAUCCGCGAUGCGGCCUCCAAAUGCACCGUCAUCGACCUGACUGACCUUCUCAAUGCCUUCACCAAUGACAUUGUGUGCGAAGCUGUGUCCGGUAGGCUUUUCAGGGAACAAAGCCAUAAAAAACUCUUCCGAGAGCUCGUCGAGGCCAACUCAUUGCUCCUGGGCGGAUUCAACCUAGAGGACUACUUCCCCAUGUUGGUGAAGAUGGACAUCAUCAAGAGGAUUGUUUGCGCCAAGGCCCAGAAGGUGAAGAAGAUGUGGGACAACCUGCUCAAUAAUAUCAUCGAUGAGCAUGCAAGCAAGUCGGUGCCAGAACACAACAGUGAGGAUAGUGACUUCACCGAUGUGUUGCUUUCUAUCCAAGAAGAGUACAAACUCACGAGAGACCAUAUUAAGGCUCAGUUAGAGAUCAUAUUCGAAGCUGGCACAGAUACAUCAUUCAUAGUGUUGGAAUAUGCGAUGGUCCAGCUCAUGCGAAAACCCCAUCUCAUGAACAAGCUACAAGCUGAGGUGAGGAGCACUAUAACCAAGGGGAAAGAAAUAGUUACCGAAGACGAUCUGGAUAGUUUGGCCUACCUAAAGGCAGUCAUUAAAGAGACACUCCGGCUCCAUAUGCCUGGGCCACUCCUCAUACCCCACCUCUCCAUGGCCGACUGCAACAUAAAGGGCUACACGAUACCAUCAGGAAUACGUGUCAUCAUCAACAGUUGGGCUCUUGCAAGGGACCCUAGUAGUUGGGAGCAUGCGGAUGAGUUCAUGCCUGAGCGGUUUAUGGAAUGUGGUAGCGCCGCAACUAUGGACUAUAAGGGAAAUGACUUCCAAUACUUGCCCUUUGGGGCCGGGCGAAGGAUUUGCCCAGGCAUGAACUAUGCGACUGCGAGCAUUGAAAUCAUGCUAGCGAAUCUCAUGUACCACUUCAACUGGAAGCUACCAGUAGAGUUGAUGGACGAAGGUGGCAUCAGUAUGACUGAAUUUUUUGGGAUGACUGUGCAUCGAAAGGAGAAGCUCCUCCUAGUCCCCGUAGUGCCAGAAGAUUAA
rnacentral:rRNA from 1 species